rnacentral:rRNA from 1 species
AUGGAGACAGACUGCCUAGAGAUUGUUAAUCUCUGGAAAAAUCGCCACAAUAGUCUUUCUGUGGUGGCACCUUUACUUUUAGAAGUUGGAGAGCUUGCUUUAGCUUUUAAUUUGUUUGAUGUUCAACAUGUAUCCAGAGCGGCCAACGUAUCGGCCCAUCUUUGUGCAAAACAUGCAUGCACAUUGAUGGUCACCGAGAGUUGGACUGACUCGAGACCUUCCUUCCUGCUCACCAGCUUAUUGGCUGAUGAUGCAAGGAGUUCUUUCGUUGAAUAA